GAAACUUGAUAAACUGGAGGAAGAGUUUUCAAAAAGAGAGGAGCACUUAGAGCCAAGUAUGAAGAAUUGUAUGAAUCUCUCUACAACAAGCGAUGCAGUAUUGUAAACGGUGAUGCUGGACCUGAAGGAGAUUCUAAUGAAGCUGCCACAAAGCAGGAGCCUGCAACCUGUAAAUGCACUUGUGUAAAAGCUGUUACUGAACCAGAUUUAGUUGCUUUCAUACGCUCUAGAGUGAAUGGAGUGCCUGGAUUCUGGCUCCAUGCUUUAUCAAAAAAUAACUUGCUAACACGAGAGGUGAUUG